GAUGAUCUAAUCAGGGUUGACAGUUUAACCCUGAGUCAUCCUAAACACAGAGGUCAAAAGGAUGAAUUAUACAGUAACCAUAUUCACGUAGGUUCUGAGUGUUGUGAUUGUGACUAUUCGACCUAUCCGAUCAUCGGGUACCAUUGCUAGAUGGUCACUUCGAUUAGUACAGAAAUUGGUUCCUGUGCUACCGGCUUAGGUUUGAACCUGCGGGGUCACACACAAUAGAGGUUCCUAUCUGAUCUGAUGGCUGAUGAAGAGUCCUAAUGCUCGUGGACUAUGAGUCCUACAUGUCUAAGACUCUGUGAUCAAAAAUCAGGAUUCUCUAAUCAUGAGUCCCACACAUUUUGGGUACCGGGGUCAAGAGUCCCACUGGUUUGGGACUCUUCGAUCAAGGUUUCAUAUCGAUGGACUUUGAUACCCGAU
rnacentral:lncRNA from 1 species